rnacentral:rRNA from 1 species
GAUCAUGGCUCAGGACGAACGCUGGCGGCGUGCUUAACACAUGCAAGUCGAACGAGAAUCUACUGAAAGAGUUUUUCGGACAAUGGAUGUAGAGGAAAGUGGCGGACGGGUGAGUAACGCGUGAGGAACCUGCCUUGAAGAGGGGGACAACAGUUGGAAACGACUGCUAAUACCGCAUGACGCAUAGAGGUCGCAUGAUCUUUAUGCCAAAGAUUUAUCGCUUCAAGAUGGCCUCG